CCCUAGGGAAACAGAACAGAAUUAGGGACAUAAAAUCUCAAGAAGUUUCACUAAAAGACAUUCCUCUGUGACUCCAAUAACAAACUGGACUGAAGAGAGAUCUCAGGGAA